UGCUACACAGAUGGGCAUUGGCUUAUUUGU
rnacentral:piRNA from 1 species